rnacentral:rRNA from 1 species
GACGUAGGGGGCCAGCGUUGUUCGGAAUUACUGGGUGUAAAGGGUUCGUAGGCGGUGCGGCAAGUUGGGAGUGAAAUCUCUGGGCUUAACCCAGAGGCUGCUUCCAAAACUGCUGUGCUUGAGUGUGGGAGAGGCGUGUGGAAUUGCAGGUGUAGCGGUGAAAUGCGUAGAUAUCUGCAGGAACACCCGUGGCGAAAGCGGCGCGCUGGACCACUACUGACGCUGAGGAACGAAAGCUAGGGGAGCAAACAGG